AAGUAAGACAAGAUGCCUGAAUAGAUUGAAGUGGAGGGAUAGAUUUAGUAAGACGCAACAGCACAGGUUUUGGUUCUCUUCAAAAAGAAAAUCCAGAAAGUACUAUUGGGUUGAGAAAUCUUUCUCAAGCUGCAAUUUCUAAAGAGCAACAGUGCGAGGCGCACGCGUUUUGCAGUUCACCCAGUAACUGAGCGUGCUGACAUCAGAGGACACGCGUGCGGCGUUGAACUUGUAGACUACGUGCGUCCCUCUCCAUGCCACGACUCGCUGUUUCGUUCCAUCUUGUGAAGCGGUGAAUCACUGACAGUAGGCCUACAAGGAGUUAUUCACCUUUGUCUUUUUAGUGUGUCUGCGACGAGACUACACCGAGGCUGUUCAGGCGCUCUGCCUGUAAACUAAGCGGGUGUUUUGGAUCAAGCAUCCUGGGACAAAUGAGCCAAACGUCAAAGAACGUCUAUAAACGUAUCAUUCCCUUGUAUAAUAUUGACCUAUGAUCCAAGACGAACACACAAAAUAAAAAUCCACCAGACAGCGUCUGAAAAUGCAACUGUAACUCCAGAGGAAGUUCCCAAUUCUUGGACUCAUGAAGAAGACGAGAACAUUCUUAUGAUAAAUGGAAGCGAACACCAGCCUAUACAACUGAUAAAUGGCCACAUCUGCGCUAUGAGAAGUUCUAUAACACUAAUAUUUCAAUAAGUGUGUGUGUGGGGGGGGGGCUCUGACUGUACAAAAUCAGCUAUACAAUUGUGAAAAUGUAUCUUACCUUGGCACAAUAUAGUCUGAUGUGUGAAUCCAAAACGUUGCAGUGAGAUAUCUUAGUGAGAUAUAUAUAUAUAAUCUUAAUCGAAAGAUAUAUAAUCACAUACGCUACAAGACAACAUACAUUUUGAGGCCUCUGCACUGAUGGGCGGGAGGGAAAGACAAGCUAAAUACUAUCAUAUAUCCAUCAAAUUCUAUUGUCGUUGUUAAAUAAAAUGAUUGCCUAUAGGUAAAGCUGUUGUCUGACGUUUUAUGGGUCUCGUUGUUAGUUGCGAGUGAGACCGAAGCAAUAUCAUUGUUUUUCAGCAACAUCAUAACAGUUUCCUCUUCGAUAAAAGUUAUCCUUCGGUCUAUUUUUGAAACAUUUCACCUAUACAAUAUCUCCUUUGACUUACACGUUGGUUCUUAGUCUAUUUGUAGCCUAACCUUGCAGUUUAUUCUCAGUGAGCGUCUAUUUUCGAUAUUUCCAUUUUGAUUAAAGAGAUUUGUAAACAAUUUGUAGGCGAUGAGGACGUUUUGUAAAAUAUUUUUCAACAAAUGUCCCGUCAUUCACUAUUACUUUGCUCGAGAACUGCGAAAUAUAUUUGAAUUUAUUAGGCCCUAGAUACGCCCCCCUUUUCCACCUUGAGGGAUCUAGAAAGGUAUUUUUUUCAAAUGUAUUGUUUUCAUAAAGAAAUUAGACGUUACACAAAAUGUGACCAGCAAUGUGGAAAUAAGGAACAUUUGCUAGUUGAGAUGUAUGAAGCCAAAUGAAAAACACUUAAAAGCAAAGUCUAAUCAGCAAUAAUAUUAAUUUAGCUGUGAUAAGACCAGCUACAUAAAAAGCAAAUGCAAUAAUUUUUGCUAUAUAAACAAUUACAAAUAGGAUAGAUAUAGGUGCAUCUGCCGCUGGUGUCAACGUCACUUUCAAAAUUAAAAUAAAUACAAUAGUUUAUUUCAUUUAGUUGGCAAUAUGUCUACAAAGCACAGGCACCCACGUUUCAGUUUUCAAAUGAAUUGUGUCAGAGUAGGCUACAGGUCUACAA
rnacentral:lncRNA from 8 species